UACGAAGGGUGCAAGCGUUACUCGGAAUUACUGGGCGUAAAGCGUGCGUAGGUGGUUGUUUAAGUCUGUUGUGAAAGCCCUGGGCUCAACCUGGGAACUGCAGUGGAAACUGGACAACUAGAGUGUGGUAGAGGGUAGCGGAAUUCCCGGUGUAGCAGUGAAAUGCGUAGAGAUCGGGAGGAACAUCCAUGGCGAAGGCAGCUACCUGGACCAACACUGACACUGAGGCACGAAAGCGUCGGGAGCAAACAGG
rnacentral:rRNA from 1 species